GAUGAACGCUGGCGGCGUGCUUAACACAUGCAAGUCGAACGAAACACCUUAUUUGAUUUUCUUCGGAACUGAAGAUUUGGUGAUUGAGUGGCGGACGGGUGAGUAACGCGUGGGUAACCUGCCCUGUACAGGGGGAUAACAGUCAGAAAUGACUGCUAAUACCGCAUAAGACCACAGCACCGCAUGGUGCAGGGGUAAAAACUCCGGUGGUACAGGAUGGACCCGCGUCUGAUUAGCUGGUUGGUGAGGUAACGGCUCACCAAGGCGACGAUCAGUAGCCGGCUUGAGAGAGGGAACGGCCACAUUGGGACUGAGACACGGCCCAAACUCCUACGGGAGGCAGCAGUGGGGAAUAUUGCACAAUGGGGGAAACCCUGAUGCAGCGACGCCGCGUGAGUGAAGAAGUAUUUCGGUAUGUAAAGCUCUAUCAGCAGGGAAGAAAAUGACGGUACCUGACUAAGAAGCCCCGGCUAACUACGUG
rnacentral:rRNA from 1 species